rnacentral:rRNA from 1 species
AGAGUUUGAUCCUGGCUCAGGACGAACGCUGGCGGCAUGCCUAAUACAUGCAAGUCGAGCGAACAGAUGAAGUGCUUGCACUUCUGACGUUAGCGGCGAACGGGUGAGUAACACGUAAGGAAUCUACCUAUAAGCGGGGGAUAACAUUCGGAAACGGGUGCUAAUACCGCAUAAUAUCUUCUUCCGCAUGGAAGAAGAUUGAAAGACGGCUCUGCUGUCACUUAUAGAUGACCUUGCGGUGCAUUAGUUAGUUGGUGGGGUAACGGCCUACCAAGACGAUGAUGCAUAGCCGACCUGAGAGGGUGAUCGGCCACAUUGGGACUGAGACACGGCCCAAACUCCUACGGGAGGCAGCAGUAGGGAAUCUUCCGCAAUGGGCGAAAGCCUGACGGAGCAAUGCCGCGUGAGUGAAGAAGGCCUUCGGGUCGUAAAACUCUGUUAUAAGAGAAGAACAAAUUGUAGAGUAACUGCUACAGUCUUGACGGUAUCUUAUCAGAAAGCCACGGCUAACUACG